CUGCUGCCUCCCGUAGGAGUCUGGACCGUGUCUCAGUUCCAGUGUGGGGGGCCUUCCUCUCAGAACCCCUACGCAUCGUCGCCACGGUGGGCCGUUACCCCGCCGUCAAGCUAAUGCGCCGCAUGCCCAGCCGCCACCGGAUUCCUCCUUUCGCCCGGACCGGAUGCCCGGUCCGGGCGGCAUGGGGUAUUAGGCCGGGUUUCCCCGGGUUAUCCCCCUGUGGCGGGCAGGUUCCAUACGUGUUACUCACCCGCGCGCCGGUCGCCGGCAGGUGCAGGCAA
rnacentral:rRNA from 1 species